rnacentral:tRNA from 1 species
GUAGACAUAGUUUAACAAAGACGUUAGAUUGUGAUUCUAAAAAUAGGAGAUAAACCCACCUUGUCUACC